AUAUAACUUGAAAAUGAAGUAGGCUGAGAAUAAUCUCAUACAAAACCAGUAACAAAUUUUGAAAUACAUUUACUUGCAAUAAAAUGUUAUCUAUAAUGUAGAUUCUUUAAAUGUUAACCCUUAAAUUACUCAGAAAUUCAAGAACAAAGUAAAAGCCACCAUAAGUCACAUAUAUUCUUUACUAUCAUCUUUGCCACAGAACUUUUGCACUUGAUCUUUCUUUUACUUUUCUGAUAAUUUGUGUUUUUUCCUCCUUAAAUGGCUCUAUGUUAACUCUUAUUAGAAAGUUUCAAACCCCUUUCUCUCAUCAUCGUGCCCCAAAAUUUGUCAAAAAAAGUUUCAGAGAUAUAAUAUUGAGUUAUUUAGGCCAAAGUCAAUAAAUGGCUCUUAGAAUAAGACUUUGAAAAUAAUGUAAUACUCUAUGCUAGGCAUGGUGGCUCAUGCCUGUAAUCCCAGCACUAUAGGAGGCUGUGGCAGAAAGAUUACUUGAGGCCAGGAAUUUGAAACCAGCCAGAGCAACAUAGUGAUAACAUAAUCUCGACAAAAAAUUUUAUUUAAAAUUAACCAGGCAUGGUGAUUUAUGCUUGUAGAUCCAACUAGUUGGGAGACUAAGGCACAAGGAUGGCUUGGACUCAGAGUUCAUGGCUGCAGUGAAUUAUGACCAAGCCACUCCACUUCUGCCUGGAUGACAGACAGAGACCAUAUCUCAAAAAAACACAAAAUAAUCCUAUAAAUAAGGAUUCUAAUGCCAUAAGCCUUUCCCUAGGCUGUAAAUGUUUUAUGCUAAUUUGAAUUGCAUUUUUAAAAGUAAUGACUCUUGGGGUAGAGGCCAUAGAAUACAGCACCCAGAUAUAAAUCCACAUAUUUGCCUUACAAGAAAUAAAUCCACAUUCUUGCCUUACAAGAGCUCCUGAAGGAAGCACUAAACAUGGAAAGGGACAAACAGUAUGAGCCACUGGGAAAACAUACCAAAUUGUAACGACCAUCGACACUAUAAAGAAACUGCAUUAACUAAUGGGAAAAAAUAAACAGCUAACAACAUCAUGACAGGAUAAAUUUCACAUGUAACAAUAUUAACCUUAAAUGUAACUGGGCUAAAUGCCCCAGUAAAAAGACACAGACUGGCAAGUUGGAAAAAGACUCAAGACCCAUUGGUGUGCUGUAUUCAGGAGACUCAUCUCACAUGCAAAGACACACACAGGCUCAAAAUAAAGGGACGGAGGAAUAUUUACCAAGCAAAUGAAAAGCAAAAAAAAAAAAAAAAAAAAAAAAAAAAAAAAAAAAGCAGGGCUUGCAAUCCUAGUCUCCGAUAAAACAGACUUUAAAUGGAAAAGAUCAAAAGAGACAAAGGGCAUUACAAAGCAGUGCCAUCUGCUUUUCCUCAGGACUCUGCUCCAUCAGCCAUCAGGUGGCAGCCAUUCAGGCUGUUGGAACCUGGCCAUCCAUGCUUCUUUGAGUGGGUGAGAUUAAAGGCUGGUCCAACUGCACCAGGAGCAUGCUUGCAGAGGUGGCUGCUUGCUCUUUGAGCCAGCUUGGCCUUGCCUGUCAUGCACAGGCCCCAGCUACUGACACGCUGCUCUGAGUGAGCUUGUCCUGCCUGGGGCCAAAUUCUAAGUCUGGCCAGGGCCACAGAAGGGCAAGUCCCCUGGGUGGUAAUCCUGACUUUUUUCUGCACUUGAACAUAAAGUCCUCCUCAAGACGGCCUGUGGUCUGCCUCUUGGCAACCAAGAAGCCUGCAGUGCCAUAUAAGCUCGGAGGCAUGGACUAGAGCCCCAAAGGCAGUGAACACCCUGCUCCUGAGCCUGCUGCUCAUUUCCUCUGUGUGGCUCCAUUUGUAGCACAGUUGUUGUACUGAGGCUUGUGCAUGCUGGGCAAGGACAAGCUGGCUCAAAGAGGAACCAGCCACUUCUGCAAGGGUGUGCCAGGAGCAGGUAGACCAGCCACCAACCUCACUCGCUGCCUGCCAGACAUGGCACAUCAGUUCUUCUACCCUAGAGGUAGGGCCCCAGUGCCAUCUGCUUUUUCUGAGGCCUCUGCUCCAUCAGCCAUCAGGUGGCAGCCACACAGGCUGUGGGAACCUGCCUAUGCUUGCUUCCUUGAGUAGCAGAGGUUGGUGGCUGCUCUACCUGCUCCCGGUGCACCCCUGCAAAGGUGGCUGGUUGCUCUUUGAGCCAGCUUGGCCUUGCCUGGCAUGCAGAGGCCCCAGCUACUGACAUGCUCCUCUGAGUGAGCUUGUCCUGCCUUGGCCCAAAUUCUAAGUCUGGUCAGGUCCACAGAAGGCAGAGUCCCCUGGGUGGUAAUGCUGGCUGCUUUCUGCAUUUGAACACAAAGUCCUCCUCCAGACGACCUGUGGUCUGCCCCUUGGCAAUGAAGAAGCCCGCAGUGCCAUAUGAGCCCUGAGGCAUGGACUGGAGCCCCAAAGGCAGUGCACACCGUGCUCCUGAUCCUGCUGCUCAUUUCCUCUCUGUGGCUCCAUUUGUAGCACAGUUGUUGCACUGAGGCUUGUGCAUGCCGAGCGAAGCCAAGCUGGCUCAAAGAGGAACCAGCCACCUCUGCAAGGGUGUGCCAGGAGCCGGUGGAGCAGACACUAAACUCACUCGCUGCCGGUUGGGGCACAUCAGUUCUUCUCCCAUAGAGGUCGGGCCCCAGUGCCAUCUGCUUUUCCUCAGGCCUCUGCUCCAUCAGUCUCCAGGUGGCAGCCACUCAGACUGUUGGAACCUGGCCAUCCAUGCUUCCUUGUGUGGGUCAGUUUGAUGGCUGCUACAUCUGCUCCAGGCACACCCUUGCAGAGGUGGCUGGUUGCUCUUUGAGACAGUUUGGCCUUGCCUGGCGUGCACAGGCUCCAGCUACCGAUACGCUGCUCUGAGUGAGCUUGUCCUGCAUUAGGCAAAGUUCUAAGUCCGGUCAGGGCCACAGAAGGCAGAGUCCCCUGGGUGGUAAUCCUGGCUGCUUUCUGCACUUGAACAUAAAGUCCUCCUCAAGAUGGCCUGUGGUCUGCCUCUUUGCAACCAAGAAGCCCACAGAGCCAUACUAGCCCGGAGGCAUUGACUGGAGCCCCAAAUGCAGCACACACCCUGCUCCUGAGCCUGCUGCUCUGUUUUCUCUGUGUGGCCCCAUUUGUAGCACAGUUGUUGUACUGAGGCUUGUGCAUGCUGGGCAAGGCCAAGCUGGCGCAAAGAGAAACCAGCCACCUCUGCAAGGGUGUGCCAGGAGCAGGAGGACCAGCCACCAACCUCGCUCACAGCCGGUCGGUGUACAUCACUUCUUCUACCCAAGAGGUAGAGCCCCAGUGCCAUCUGCUUUACCUCAGGCCUCUGCUCCAUCAGCCAUCAGGACGCAGACAUGCAGGCUGUGGGAACCUGGCCAUCCCUACUUCCUUGAGUGGGUGAGGUUGGUGGCUGCUCCACCUGCUCCAGGUACACCCUUGCAGAGGUGGCUGGUUGCUCUUCGAGCCACCUUGGCCUUGCCUGGCAUGCACAGGCCCCAGCUACUGAUACACUGCUCCGAGUGAGCUUGCCCUGCCUGGGGCCAAAUUCUAAGUCUGGUCAGGGCCACAGAAGGCAGAGCCCCUGGGUGGUAAUACUGGCUGCUUUCUGCAUUUGAACAUAAAGUCCUCCUCAAGAUGGCCUGUGGUCUGCAUCUUGGCAACGAAGAAGCCCACAGUGCCACACGAGCCCUGAGGCAUGGACUGGAGCCCCAAAGGCAGCGCACACCCUGCUCCUGAGCCUGCUGCUCGUUUCCUCUAUGUGGCUCCAUAUGUAGCACAGUUGUCGCACUGAGGCUUGUGCAUGCCAGGCAAGGCCAAGCUGGCUCGAAGAGUAACCAGCCACCUCUGCAAGGGUGUGCCAGGAGCAGAUGGACCAGCCACCAACCUCACUCACUGCCGGUCAGGGUACAUCACUUCUUCUACCCUAGAUGUAGGGUCCCAGUGCCAUCUGCUUUUCCUCAGGCCUCUGCUCCAUCAGCCAUCAGGAGGCAGCCACUCAGGUUGUUGGAAUCUGGCCAUCCCUGCUUCCUUGAGUGGGUGAUGUUGGUGGCUGCUCCACCUGCUCCUGGAGCACCCUUGCAGAGGUGGCUGGUUGCUCUUUGAGACAGCUUGGCCAUGCCUUUCAUGCACAGGCUCCAGCUACUGACACGCUGCUCUGAGUGUGCUUGUCCUGAGUUAGGCCAAAUUCUAAGUCCGGUCAGGGCCACAGAAGGCAGAGUCCCCUGGGUGGUAAUCCUGGCUGCUUUCUGCACUUGAACAUAAAGUCCUCCUCAAGAUGGCCUGUGGUCUGCCUCUUUGCAACCAAGAAGCCCACAGAGCCAUACUAGCCCGGAGGCAUUGACUGGAGCCCCAAAUGCAGCACACACCCUGCUCCUGAGCCUGCUGCUCUGUUUUCUCUGUGUGGUUCCAUUUGUAGCACAGCUGUUGUACUGAGGCUUGUGCAUGCUGGGCAAGGCCAAGCUGGCGCAAAGAGAAACCAGCCACCUCUGCAAGGGUGUGCCAGGAGCAGGUGGACCAGCCACCAACCUCACUCACAGCUGGUCGGUGUACAUCACUUCUUCUACCCAAGAGGUAGAGCCCCAAUGCCAUCUGCUUUUCCUCAGGCCUCUGCUCCAUCAGCCAUCAGGAUGCAGCCAUGCAGGCUGUGGGAACCUGGCCAUCCCUACUUCCUUGAGUGGGUGAGGUUGGUGGCUGCUCCACAUGUCCCAGGUGCACCCUUGCAGAGGUGACUGGUUCCUAUUUGAGUCAGCCUGGCCUUGCCUGGCAUGCAUAGUCUCCAGCUACUGACAUGCUGCUGUGAGUGAGCUUGUCCUGCCUUGGCCCAAAUUCUAAGUCUGGUCAGGGCCACAGAACGCCAAGUCCCCUGGGUGGUAAUCCUGCUGCUUUCUAUACUCGAACAUAAAGUCCUCCUCAAGACAGCCUGUGGUCUGCCUCUUGGCAACCAAGAAGCCCGCAGUGACAUAUGAGCCCUGAGCCAUGGACUGGAGCACCAAAGGCAGUGUACACCCUGCUCCUGAGCCUGCCUCUAAUGUCCUCUGUGUGGUUCCAUUUGUAGAACAGUUGUUGCACUGAGACUUGUGCAUGCUGGGCAAGGCCAAGCUGGCUCAAAGAGCAACCAGCCACCUCUGCAAGGGUGUGCCAGGAGCAGGUGGACCAGCCACCAACAUCACUCGCUGCCAGACAUGGUACCUCAGUUCUUCUAUCCUAAAGGUAGGGCCCCAGUGCCAUCUGCUUUUCCUCAGGCCUCUGC
rnacentral:lncRNA from 1 species